CGGACUUUGAAAAAUGGGAGAUUGUUGAGCCUAGGGGGAUACCAAAUGUUGGCAAUAGCGAAAAUUCUGGGUUGUGGGUGGCGGAAUGGUUGAACAUGGAACAAUCGUUCAACGAGCAAAUGACAGGAGUGCUUGACGAUCGGACUGUGAGGAUGAAAAUCGCGUUGAGGUUGUUAACGGGUCCCCACAAUGGUCUC